UUAGUUGAAGCCAAAUAGAGGCAUAUCACUGUUAAUGAUAAAAAUGAAUUAUAAUUCCAACUAAA
rnacentral:tRNA from 1 species